AGGCAUACGACGUCGAGCACCACGAAGGGGAUUCCUCUUGUCUCGAACAUGUCGUCUCCUGUCCCACUCUUGUCUUGUCUCGACUUGGCUUCGUCCACGGCGUGUAAUAAACACCAGUGGGAUGCUCCUCCUCGUCGCGGCGCUUCCGACUCAAGUGUCAGAUGGGGCCAACAGACGGACGGUUUUGAGUGUAAAACAAUUGAAGAACUGCCACACUUUGAAGACGUCCGCACUUAGAAGCGAACAGCGGUUGGUUUAAACUCGGAGACAACUCGGAGAACGAUAGGCGGCUUACAGGAGUCGUCGGUACACGAUGCACGACCGUUGCGUUCGGGCUCUUUACACACCCUACUCACUCUCAUGAUGACACCCUCCCCUAAAACAGGUUUUUAAAUACAUUAAAAGCUAAACUCUCUGACAUUAACGAGGACACCCGCCCCUGGGUGCCCGCCUGGGGUUGCGUGGAUAACGAGCUCUUGUUUACGAACACAGCCGAAAGAGACCCGAAUGCGGGCCUCAAGUCGCGUUCAAGAACCGGCAGAAAGGUUGAGACUGGCGCAUGUGCGAUACGAAUGGUCCUCUCCGGUGCACACACCCCCUCGAGAGAUCUGGUUUCCAAGUGCAUAAUCCAGGUGUGUUAGUCCGACUUUUCAAAAACAGAACACGAUCGGAUUAAAGUGUUUUCAUGGGUUGUAAGAGGCUUAUUUAGCGCCAAACUAUUUGAGAAAUCAGACUAAUUUAGUGCAUUGACACGUACUGAUUGAUAUGCCAAAUUGGCAACAUGCCCGGUCUUGUUACUGAUUAAUUUUGUCACGGUCCGGGCGCAUGCAAACGCGCGCUCAUCUGUGCGCUCUGAUGAGAGCACCUCCAGGGGCGCGUCAGUCAGCUGCAAUCAAUCACCUGCAAUCAGCGCACCUGUGGUUGAUGAGGUCCUGCCUUCAUAAGCCUGCUCAACCUGCUAUGCGGCGCCACAACAUAACCAUCCGUUUGUGUACUACCUCCGUUCCCGCGUUGACGUGCUGUGUGUCUCGUCAUUCCUUGUUCCUGUGCUUCCCGGACUGCCUCUUGGAUCCUGACCUCCCGCUUGGACACAGACCUCCUAUGACCUGCUAUAGCCCCUUACUUCCUGCUUGCCUCAUGGACAUUCGAGACUGCCUAUCCCCUCCGUCACUUCCGCCUCUCGCUCAACACUCCCAGUAACACACAACAGCUAAUCUCCACACGCAGUCUCACAAACACACACUUUGGAUUCGUCACACUCCAGUUCCCAUUAUUGCUUGAGAUAUAUAUAUAUAUAUAUAUAUAUAUAUAUAUAUAGAGCUUAACUACGCCCCCUUGUGGUCUGUGCCGUCUACUCCUCCUGUACACAACAUAUUUCUUUCUUCGAUUCAACAAAUAUCAUCCACUUGUCAGCACUGUCCUUCACACUCACUUUCUUCCUUCCAAUGGUUAGAAAAAACAAGUGAUGUCGAUUUUUAGCUGUGAGUGCGAGGGAGACGUUUUGGGAAGGAUACUUGUAACUCACAUUUAUUCCUGCAAGUUAAAACAUUAAAAUGAGCUCAAAGACAGCCCUUAUCUUAAAACACCUUUAAGUUGAGGUACUACUGCAUCAUGUUGCAUCACAGUAACCCUGAUUUCAUUCGUGAGGGAGGAUGAAUUGAUGCAAAAGGGCCUUGAAAGCCUCUGCUAGCGAGAUAUGCCAAAAUAUGCAGGCGGCAGCCUUGAGCUAUUUGAGAUGCAGAGUAAUGCAACACAAGCUCAAAGUAAAGACACGUCAUGUAAUAACUUCAACAGCAGACUAUAUUAAGUCACCUAUGUUGAUGAAGUCCGACCUGUACUGGCAGGUCAUGCCGAAGCCGAAAUCCCUCCAGAAGCCCGUGUGUUGCUUCAUCACCUGAGCAGAGAGGAAGAGCUGUGAGCUUAAAGACGUCACUUGAACAAUUUGGUGUGCUCAUUAUACCAGAGAUGAGUCGACCAAUCAGCCACUGAUCAGUAUUGGUUGAUUUUCUUGAAAAAGUAUGUGAUUGUCAUUGCGGAUUAAUGCCGAUCUCCUCUGGCUAAUGUUUUAUUUAUUUUGAGUCCCCCGGCUAAUUGUGUAUCUCCAUAUACAGUGUGGAGCCGGUUCGUAUAGUUAAUAACAAUCACCUCCAUUACGGCAAAGAAACUGUAUUUCUUUGUAUCUUUAAGAGUCAUUGCCAAGUAUUAUUAUCACUGGAGGACACACCUAAAUAUGUAACACAUCAAGAAAAAGCAUGAGCAGGCAGGCUAAGGGUUAAGCCAGCCACUAUACUAACUAGAGACCACACCAAGAAAUAAGUGUUCAGUAAAGUUUAAUGGAACCACUUUGCAGCAGGAAGUAAGCAGUUAUUAAGAGGAAAUGAACAAGUAGAUUAAUAAGAGUCUAGAAAAGGAUAAUAUAAAAACAACUGUUGUUGUGUCAUUGUGGGAUAAAUAAAAGUCCAUCCUAUCUAGUGUUGUCCUGAUACUAAUAUUUUGGUACCGGUACUAAAAUUAUUUAGAUACUUUGAUACUUUUCUGAAUAAAGGAGACCACAAAAAAAUGCAGUAUUGGCUUUAUUUGAACAAAAAUUCUUAGGGUACAUAAACAUAUGUUUCUUAUUGCAAGUUUGUCCUUGAAUAAAAUAGUGAACAUACUCUACAACUUGUCUUUUAGUCUGCUGACGUAUGCAGAAACAUAUUGUGUCAUUUAUACACCUAUUAUUUUGUCAACAUUAUUAAGGACAAGUGGUAGAAAAUGAAUUGUUAACCUACUUGUUAAUAUCUGCUUGCUUUUUCUUUUAACAUGUUCUAUCUACACUUAUGUUAAAAUUUAAUAAUCACUUAUUCUUCUUUUGUUUGAAUGCUUUACAUUAGUCUUGGAUGAUACCACAAAUUAGGGUAUCAAUUGGAUACCAAGUAGUUAGAGGAUCAUAUAUUGGUCAUAUUCAAAGUCCUCAUGUGUCCAGGAACAUAUUUCCUGAGUUUAUAAUAAUAAUAUAAUUUUUUUUUAAACGAAAAAAGAUAUUGUGAUGCCACAAAAUAUGGAUGGAAUCAUAGUAGUAUCCACUAGAUACGCUCCUGUACUUGGUAUCAUUUCAGUGGAUGUUAUGUGUAGAUCCACCAAUGGCGUUUGUUUACAUUUUGAUGCCGGUGAGCUACGGUGUGUAGUGAAGCAUGUUUAGCUAUUACUUUAUUUGUCGCCAUGGAUUUAGAAGUAGCUAAAACACUGCCGACACCGGCUGGACUUCAGCGGCUAGCCAGCUAACCAUGUCUUAAAGCACCUCUUCCGGUGGGCGUUUCAGUGUUAUAACUUCACCUUUAUCGCGAUACAUCUAUUCUACCUUUUCUGUCUACACACAUUGUCUAUUUGUAAGUACUCCGUGAUUGUGAGCUACCGAACAUGCUCCUCUGCUCGUAAACCGACAAUGACACGACGUGACGACGAAGGGGGAUUGGUGGACCGGUACUUUUCAGAGGCGGUAUAGUACCGAAUAUGAUUCAUUAGUAUUGCGGUAUUAUAUAGUACAACCCGAAUUCUAUCUUAAAAAUCAGUGGUGUUGAUAUUAAUACUAGAAUGAACAUUUUUAUUUCCUCAUAAUAUUUUGUUGUUGUUUUUGUUCAUGUUUACAAAUUCAGAGAAUGAUUCCCUGGACACAGGAUUUUGAGGAAUACAAUUAUUAAAUACUAGAUAGUAGUUUUUGAAUUUGUUUAGUUUUGUGUGAACUAUUGACUUUGUUUUGCUCCAACAA